rnacentral:lncRNA from 1 species
AACAUGGCUGUGAUUUCUUUGACACUUCUCUCGUAGAAAGUAGGGUCUUUAUCCCCUCUCCCUGAAUCUGGGUGAGCUUAUGACCACCUUAUCCAGUAGAACGUGGCAGAUACGAUGCUCUGUGACUUCUGCAGUAAGGUCAUAAAAGUGCAUUCAUCUUCAACUGUGAUUGCUUCCAUUACUUCACUCACGUUCAUCUUCAACCACUCCUGCAGUCCAGAGACACUAUGUGAGAUGUCUGACCAUCCUGAUGUCUCCUUGCUGUGAGGCAACCCAAGUCACAUGGAGAGGCCACAUCGUAGGUGUUCAGUCCCAGCCGUGCCAACUUGAAUCAUACCAAUAUGGAUGCCAGACAAGGGAGUUAUGAAGUUUCCAGAUUAUUCCAUCUUCCAGUCCUUUGAAUCUUUCCAGCUAAGGCCCCAGAAAUUGUGGAAAUGAGACAAGCCACUCCUAUUAGGCCCUUCCUGAAUUCCUGACCUACAGAAUAUGUGGAAAAGGACCAGCAAGCAACACAUUAUGUUAAAAGGAUGCUGCUAAAGGAAGGUAUGAGGCUUAGAGCUCUGGCUACCACUGUGACUGUGAGUGGGCACUGAUGCUGAUCCACUGAGCAGCAAAGCGUGGAAAGAUAGAAAGAACCUGGAUCAUUGUGACAUCACUGAGCUGUUGCAACCAUCCUGUACCACCAGACCUCUUGUUACCUACAAUAAUUAAAUGUCAUUAUUGUUUAAGCUAUUGUCAUUAGAGCAUUGUAU